rnacentral:rRNA from 1 species
UACGUAGGCAGCGAGCGUUGUUCGGAGUUACUGGGCGUAAAGCGUGCGUAGGCGGUGGUCCAAGUCUGGUGUGAAAUCUCCCGGCUUAACUGGGAGGGUGCGCCGGAAACUGGGCCGCUGGAGUACGGGAGAGGCAAGCGGAAUUCCUGGUGUAGCGGUGAAAUGCGUAGAUAUCAGGAGGAACACCGGUGGCGAAGGCGGCUUCCUGGACCGACACUGACGCUGAGGCGCGAAAGCUAGGGGAGCAAACGGG